rnacentral:rRNA from 1 species
GAUGAACGCUGGCGGCGUGCCUAAUACAUGCAAGUCGAGCGGAAGGACGAGAAGCUUGCUUCUCUGAUGUUAGCGGCGGACGGGUGAGUACCACGUGGGUAACCUACCUAUAAGAAUGGGAUAACUUCGGGAAACAGGAGCUAAUACCGGAUACUGAUUUAAACGGCGGGGUUCAAAAGUGAACGCCGGUCUUGCGGCCGCUUGUAGAUGGGUCCGCGCUGCAUUAGCUAGUUGGUAAGGUAACGGCUUACCAAGGCAACGAUGAGUAGCCGGCCUGAGAGGGUGAUCGGCCACACUGGAACUGAGACACGGCCCAGACUCCUACGGGAGGCAGCAGUAGGGAAUCUUCCGCAAUGGGCGAAAGCCUGACGGAGCAACGCCGCGUGAGUGAUGAAGGUCUUCGGAUCGUAAACCUCUGUUAUUAGGGACGAACAUAUGUGUAAGUAACUGUGCACAUCUUGACGGUACCUAAUCAGAAAGCCACGGCUAACUACGUG